rnacentral:sRNA from 1 species
CUCUCUGAACACCAGGCUGGCAGUCACUGGAAACUAGGACGAUAGAGCACCCGCCCUGUGGGUGCCUCAUGCUGCCUCCUGCUCCUCGGGCCCAGCUGCCCUGCCGGUCAGGCUGGGUUCCCUCUUGUGUCUUCCCCGAGUCCUUCCGGGGAGGACGAGGCUGUCUUCCUCCCAGCCAACCUUCUGGGCACCUUUCCUCUCUUCCCACGCUCUGCCUGGGACCCUUUUCCUUCCCCUCAGCCCACGGCCGUGCUGUGCAGCCGAGCCCCCGCCUGGUCUGUGGCAGCUCAGGGUUCACUCAGGAGGUGCAGCAUCCAGUCGUUUCCAGUGUUUGCAAUUAUGCAACAAUCGAUGCAAUUCUAGAAGAUUCUUCCCACUCCAGAAAGAAACCCAGGGCUCUCCCCCUCGCCUGGCACCCACUUGUCCGCUUUCUGGUCACUGGGUUUGUCUCUGCUGGACGUUGAGUGUUCUGCGGGGAGUGCCUCCAGCCCUGCCUGCAAGUGCCAUCCCCGCUGUGCCCACUCUGCCGCCUGCCCUUCGACCCCAAGAAGGUGGACAAGGCCACCCAUGUGGAGAAGCAGCUCUCGU